rnacentral:rRNA from 1 species
UACGUAGGGUGCAAGCGUUAAUCGGAAUUACUGGGCGUAAAGCGUGCGCAGGCGGUUGUGCAAGACCGAUGUGAAAGCCCUGGGCUCAACCUGGGAAUUGCAGUGGAUACUGGCGAGCUAGAGUGCGGUAGAGGAUGGUGGAAUUCCCGGUGUAGCGGUGAAAUGCGCAGAUAUCGGGAAGAACACCCGUGGCGAAGGCGGCUCUCUGGGACGGUACUGACGCUGAGACGCGAAAGCGUGGGGAGCGAACAGG